rnacentral:rRNA from 1 species
GACGAACGCUGGCGGCGUGCUUAACACAUGCAAGUCGAGCGGUAAAGCCCUUUCGGGGGUACACGAGCGGCGAACGGGUGAGUAACACGUGGGUGACCUGCCCUCAGCUCUGGGAUAAGCCUGGGAAACCGGGUCUAAUACCGGAUAUGACUCCAUGACGCAUGUUGUGGGGUGGAAAGCCUUGUGCGGCUGAGGAUGGGCCCGCGGCCUAUCAGCUUGUUGGUGGGGUGAUGGCCUACCAAGGCGACGACGGGUAGCCGGCCUGAGAGGGCGACC